rnacentral:lncRNA from 1 species
UUAGGGCCUUAAGUUCUACCAGACCUUACAUAAGUGGUACCUCUUUUAUCACUCAAACAUAAUUAUCGAACGUCAGGGAAUGGGUCUUCAAAAACCUCUAAGGCGUCAUCUUUCCCAAAGGAUUUGGUUCACAGAGGCGUUUUUGGCCUAUGCUUGCCCCCUUUCAUACUUGCUGCCUGGUUUAAGCUUUGUUGGGGAUUGUAUUGUCCUUAUCACAAGGUGAGAUAUCAGUUGCUUUUGCUUUGCAACAUAUGAAGACUGACUGAUUUUAGCAUUACCUUUUGAGAACCAAUUACUGGAAUCUGUAAAGGUAUUGAAGAUGGAAGUAUCCUAUCUAAGAUCUUGUUUUGAGUCUUGAAUUCAUGUCAAAGUUAGGGUUGAAUUUGAGGUUAACGAUUUGGAAUUUUAAGGCUUUUGGAUAGAGUUAGAAAUGAAGUAUUCUUAAUAGGGAUAUAUUUAAUGCAUUGUUAAUGUAGGAAUUUUAUGCAGACACCUCAUCACUAU